rnacentral:rRNA from 1 species
AGUGAACGCUGGCGGUAGGCCUAAUACAUGCAAGUCGAACGGACGCACAGUAAGAGUUUGCUUUUACGGGUGGCGAGUGGCGGACGGGUGAGGCAUACAUCGGAAUCUACUUUUUCGUGGGGGAUAACGUAGGGACACUUACGCUAAUACCGCAUACGACCUACGGGUGAAAGCAGGGGAUCUUCGCACCUUGCGCGACUGAAUGAGCCGAUGUCGGAUUAGCUAGUUGGCGGGGUAAAGGCCCACCAAGGCGACGAUCCGUAGCUGGUCUGAGAGGAUGAUCAGCCACACUGGAACUGAGACACGGUCCAGACUCCUACGGGAGGCAGCAGUGGGGAAUAUUGGACAAUGGGCGCAAGCCUGAUCCAGCCAUACCGCGUGGGUGAAGAAGGCCUUCGGGUUGUAAAGCCCUGUUGUUAGGAAAGAAAAGCAGCAGGUUAAUACCCCGCUGUUCUGACGGUACCCAAAGAAUAAGCACCGGCUAACUUCGUG